rnacentral:misc_RNA from 1 species
GAUGAAGAACGCAGCGAAAUGCGAUACUUGGUGUGAAUUGCAGAAUCCCGUGAACCAUCGAGUCUUUGAACGCAAGUUGCGCCCGAAGCCAUUAGGCCGAGGGCACGCCUGCCUGGGCGUCACACGUCGUUGCCCCCCCCAUCUACUCCUUCGGGAUUGCGGGGGGCGGAUGAUGGCCUCCCGUGCGCCUCGCCGCGCGGUUUGCAUAAAUGCCAAGUCCUCGGCGACGCACGCCACGACAAUCGGUGGUUGCGAAACCUCGGUUGCCCGUCGUGUGCGGUCGUCGCGCAUCGAGGGCUCGAAAAAAUUGCCGAGUUCCGGCUCGGCUUUCAACGCGACCCCAGGUCAGGCGGGGUUACCCGCUGAAUUUAAGCAUAUCAAUAAGCGGAGGA